CAGUCGCCACGGUAAUACGUAGGGUGCGAGCGUUAAUCGGAACUACUGGGCGUAAAGCGUGCGCAGGCGGUUGUGUAAGACAGGUGUGAAAUCCCCGGGCUUAACCUGGGAACUGCGCUUGUGACUGCACAGCUAGAGUAUGGCAGAGGGGGGUGGAAUUCCACGUGUAGCAGUGAAAUGCGUAGAGAUGUGGAGGAACACCGAUGGCGAAGGCAGCCCCCUGGGCCAAUACUGACGCUCAUGCACGAAAGCGUGGGGAGCAAACAGGAUUAGAUACCCCCGUAGUCCCUGUCUCUUAUAC
rnacentral:rRNA from 1 species